AGCUGGUGUAAUGGUUUGAACAAUGGACUAUGACUCUGGAGACCAGGGUUCAAAUCCCUGCUCAGCUA
rnacentral:tRNA from 1 species